GACGUAGGGGGCCAGCGUUGUUCGGAAUUACUGGGUGUAAAGGGUUCGUAGGCGGUGCGGCAAGUUGGGAGUGAAAUCUCUGGGCUUAACCCAGAGGCUGCCUCCAAAACUGCUGUGCUUGAGUGUGGGAGAGGCGCGUGGAAUUGCAGGUGUAGCGGUGAAAUGCGUAGAUAUCUGCAGGAACACCCGUGGCGAAAGCGGCGCGCUGGACCACUACUGACGCUGAGGAACGAAAGCUAGGGGAGCAAACAGG
rnacentral:rRNA from 1 species